GAGCUAAGCCACAGUGAGCAAGGCAACUGAGUGAGCUCAGGUAGCCGUCACGCACUGUACACUUGAUGGCUAGCUUCGUCGAACAACUCAAGGACAAGUUCCUCGGCCUCGUCUACCGCGUAACCAGCUAGGAUGGUUGUGGCAUCGGUGUCGGCAGAGACAAGGACGAUGUUCCAGAGACCUAAGUUGUCAAGUGUCCAGCAGCCCGUUGAGAUCAGGUCGAGAGACCCCGUUGUGGACGAAGGAUCAGCGGCAGGGGCCAAUUGUUUCAUACUGCCAAACAAGCUCGAGAUUGCUACACUUGCUGGUGUUUAGUAUUCCAAGGUUAAUGCUGGUGCAGUGUGUAGUGUUAUUGAUUGAUUUUUCCUUUAUAAUUAAACCUGGUGAAUUUUUUUACUUUUCCCUUUUUUGUUUCUUUUAGUGUUAUCAUUGUAAUUCCUAGUGUACGAGUGUACGUGUUGUAUCUUGCUAUCUCCGAGUAAAUAAAAAGUAAUGAUACAUGCCCAGGCCACCUAGAAGAAUUUCCCAAAAAA